CGUCUCAACUACUCUCAUAAUUUUCAAUGAGACAAUGAGAUGUUUUCAGCCUAAUCACUGAUACUAGUUCUCAAUCCGGUUCUCGACUUGCUCUCGUUUUGAUCUACUAGACGAAGCGACCCAGUAGGCUGGGCCAUGAUAAGCCCGAACCGGUCCAUCAUCAGGAAAACAUCUGAACCGGUAGUUUUUACAGUUGGGCGUUGCGCCGGAGAAGAUAUGUAUCGAUUUAAAAAACUAAACUUUAACCGAGACAGGCAAACUUUUGUCAUCAUCUUUUUGGCGGACUUCCUUGUAAUCUGAUGCUGGCGGCACUCUUGAGCUCAAUCUCCGAUGUCCGAAUAUCCCGGAGAAUAUGUUUUUUAUAUUCCCAGAAUCUUCCCUUGUUGUCCAAUGCCCUCCCUGAGAGCAACACUCUCUGGGGGGGAGAGAUAGAGAGAGAAAGAGUACGAAUGACUCCCCAAUCACCAUACCACUUAAUCCAAUCUCAUUGGGUGACCAAUCUCAAUCCCCACCUUUGAUCCGCCUUCUUUUACGAUAAACUCGCUUGUCCCGUCCAUUGUUGCGCUCCGAUAUUUAUAGCAAGAACCGAGCUUGAGAGCUGAGCCCGGAACUGUUCGUGAAAUUUCCCCCCCAGAGAGGUGCCCUUCUGUCAGUUGCAGUCAACCGAUCUGCGCCGUCUCUGAUAACCGAGCUUUUGAACGCGGCAUCCGUUGCAGUAAAACUAGUUUCUUUCGUCAGUCUUCAUGUAUCAUAUUCGUGGAAGACUCCAUUGAGAGCUGAGCUUUCUCUUGACAAGCACGCGUAUUUGUUUGAGAAUUCAACUCUCGGAGACUUCAGCGGGAUUUCAUAUAUGGAGACGCCUUCUUCUCCUUCUUAUGUUAUCAUCGCAUUUGAUGCCACUAAGGUUAGGAAUGAGCAUGAGCUCUGGGUCACUCUAAACAAUGUUCAGGCCAGAGGCGAUAUUCUCCGUGGAGGGGACACUAUUGUUGUUCUGGGAGUCCUACAUAAGGUGACUCACCCUAUGGGUUUCCAAAUUACACCGAACGAAGAUGCUUUUACUGGUACUAAUUCCACUCGAGCGAUGGAGGAGGAAGUUUCACAGAAAACUGAGGCCUAUGUGAAUAUGCUUCUCAAGAGUGCUGAGAAAUGCGAAGAUGAUGGGGUAAGCAUGGAAGUAAAAGUCAUAGCUGGAGCUCCUGUCAAGCAAGUUAUCUUACAAGAGGCUUUUACAUGUAAGGCAACUUGGGUUGUACUUGACAGGCACCUCAGGAAAGAUUUCAAGUUCUACCUUAAACAAAUACCGUGCAAGGUGGCACUCAUCCAAGAUAGCUUGUCUGUGGACAUUCUGAGAUCCACUAGAACAACUGAGGCCAACCUCAUAGAACACAGGCGAUUUUACUCCGUGUCCAAGCCAAUUCUAUCUUUGGCUAUGCAAGGUGGUGAGAACAAGGAACAAUCUGCUAUUACGAGCCCUGAAAACUUUCGCAAGCUCCAAAGGAAUUCAAUUGUAUCUGACCUUGGGGAUUUCCAGAUAAGUGAGAAGGCAGGAGUGUCUACUAAGGACGAGGGUAAAUCGGUCCCUCACAUCCACAAAAGAAAUACGUUCCGACUGAGCUCCUUAGAAGCUCCAAUUCUCUGUGCAACUUGUGGGACCAGAACUGAAUUGGAUCUCAAAGACUCUAUGAGAUUCAGCUUCUCCGAGGUACAGCAGGCAACAAAUAAUUUCUCGAAAGAGAACUUGCUUGGAGAAGGCGGAUAUGGGUAUGUGUACAAGGGGAACCUUAAAGACGGGCAAUCGAUCGCAGCAAAGGUUCGAAAAGAAGCUAGCGCGCAGGGGUUUGAGGAGUUCCGUUCUGAGAUUUACGUGUUGAGUUUUGCUCGGCACAAGAAUAUCGUGAUGUUGUUAGGGUAUUGCUGCAAGGAGAACCUUAAUGUUUUGGUUUACGAGUAUAUCUGCAAUAAAUCCCUGGAUUGGCAUUUAUUUGACGAAAAUGCAGCUGUUCUGGAGUGGCAUCGGAGAUACUCAAUAGCCAUUGGAACUGCUAAAGGGUUGCGCUUUCUGCAUGAAGAAUGUCGUGGAGGUCCUAUAAUUCAUCGGGAUAUGCGGCCCAGUAAUAUACUGGUCACUCAUGAUUUUGUUCCAAUGCUCGGUGACUUUGGCCUAGCUAGGUGGAAGACAAGUGAUGAUCCCGUGCAGACGAGAAUACUUGGUACAUUAGGCUUGUCCUCUCGAUUCUGGCAGAUACCUCGCGCCAGAAUAUGCGGAGAACGGCACUGUCUCUAUAAGAACAGAUGUCUACGCUUUCGGGAUCAUCCUAUUACAACUAAUUUCAGGGCGCAAGGUGGUAGACAGAAAGAAGAACGAACAAGAUCAGUCUCUGAGACAGUGGGCAGAACAUCUGAUAGAAAACAUGGAGUUACAUGAACUGAUUGAUCCACGUAUGGGAGACUCGUACGACACUUACGAAUUGUAUCUCAUGUCAAGAGCAGCAUACUCAUGUGUGAAAAGUAAUCCGGAGUUGCGUCCUUCCAUGGGAGAGGUUGUUCGUUUUCUUGAAGGGAAGAGUAAUCAGUUCUCCAGCUAAGGCGAGCAACUCUUACCAAUGGUCACUGUACUUGAACGAGUAAAUGGACAUAUAGUCUUUCAUUUUGCAGUUAAAGUCUUUCACAACUUUGCCUCUUAUAGUCAUCUUUCACAGCUUCUCCUGUGUGGCAGAAGGUCUACCAAUUUUCUCUCUUCGUUUUCCCUUGCACUGCUUCUUCUGUCUCUUCACAGGUAUCCGAAUGUAAGAUCAAUUUACAGAGUAUCGAACGAGAAGCUCAAUAAACAGAGAGAUGAGGAGAGGGAGACAUGCACGGAUAAGUCGAGGCGAUGCAGUCGGUCCUGCGGAGCCCACUGUGAUAUCCGUUAGAACACGCUUUAGUUUGAAGCUGAUAAGAUUACUACAUCCGAAUACUGUAAUAUAUAUAGGCAUAUGUUUAACAAUCAUCAGAUCUGUCGGACUCUUCGACUGUAUUGAUAUACUUGAAAUAAUUACAAAGGGAAUCGUUAUGGAA